AACCAGCACCUCAAGUGGUCAGGAUGAUUAUUGGGCCUAAAGCAUCCGUAGCCUGCUUUGUUAGUUUUCGAUUAAAUCUGUGCGCUUAACGUACAGGCUGCCGGAAAUACUGCAAAGCUAGGAAGUGGGAGAGGUAGACGGUACUCGGUAGGAAGGGGUAAAAUCCUUUGAUCUAUUGAUGACCACCUGUGGCGAAGGCGGUCUACCAGAACACGUUCGACGGUGAGGGAUGAAAGCUGGGGGAGCAAACCGGAUUAGAUACCCGGGUAGUCCCAGCUGUAAACUAUGCAAACUCAGUGAUGCAUUGGCUUGUGGCCAAUGCAGUGCUGCAGGGAAGCCGUUAAGUUUGCCGCCUGGGAAGUACGUACGCAAGUAUGAAACUUAAAGGAAUUGGCGGGGAGCACCACAAGGGGUGAAGCCUGCGGUUC
rnacentral:rRNA from 1 species